CCUUCGAUAGCUCAGUUGGUAGAGCGGAGGACUGUAGUGGUUGGAACAGUGGCAAUCCUUAGGUCGCUGGUUCGAUUCCGGCUCGAAGGA
rnacentral:tRNA from 1 species